rnacentral:ncRNA from 1 species
AAUGAGUUUUAUUCUUGCUUUUUCAUUCAGUUUUUGUUUGUUCUAUAUGUAAGUUUUUGCGUUAGUACCUUUCAGUUCUAAAUGGUUUGGAUUGGUGUGUUAAGUUGUUGUUCUCAUUAGUUGUUAUUGGUUGAUCAAGUAUUCUUGUAUCUAGCAAUACGUUUAAGUUUCGGUUAAAUUUUGUGCCAGCAGCCGCGGUUAUACCUUGGAAGUGUUUGAAUGUGUUUGGCGUUGAUUGGUAGUUAUAUUUAUAUUUUGUUAAGAUAUUUUUUUGGAUAGUUUAUUAGGUGAAAUUUUUAUUUUUGUUUUUAUCUUUUUUUUGUUUGGAGGCUAUGAAAUUCUUUUUGUAAACUAGGAUUAGAUACCCUAUUAUUUUUGAAUGUUAAGUGUUUAUUUGCCUGAGUAGUAUUAGUUAUGUUCUUGAAACUUAAAGAAUUUGGCGGUACCUCAUUCCUUCCAGAGGAAUCUGUCUCGUUAUCGAUAGUCCACGUUGGACCUUACUUGGAUUGCUUUAGGUUUGUAUACCGCCGUUUAUUGAUUAUCUUUUUAGAGUUUGAGUAAUUUUCUGGUCUCUUUAUUUUGAUUUAUUUCAGGUCAAGGUGCAGCUUGUUUCUAAGUGAAUGAUGGAUUACAUUGUUAUUUGUUUUUGGAUUGUUGAUUUUGAUAUUAGCAUGAAAUUGGAUUUGGUUGUAAUGAUUUGUAGACUGUUUUCAUGAUCGUGGUUCUGGGGUAUGUACACAUCGCCCGUCGCUCUCGUUCAAAGUUGUUAAUGAGAUAAGUCGUAACAAAGUGGUUGUACCGGAAGGUGCAGCUGGAUUGAU